UGGAGGGCAAGUCUGGUGCCAGCAGCCGCGGUAAUUCCAGCUCCAAUAGCGUAUAUUAAAGUUGUUGCAGUUAAAAAGCUCGUAGUUGAAUUUCGGGAUCAAUUUAUUGGUCGUGCUAUUGUACGUACUGGUAUUAUUGGUUCCUACCUUCUGACGAACCAUGAUGUCAUUAAUUUGGUGUCAUGGGGAAUCAGGACUGUUACUUUGAAAAAAUUAGAGUGUUUAAAGCAGGCUCACGCUUGAAUACAUUAGCAUGGAAUAACGAAAUAGGACGUUUGAUUCUAUUUUGUUGGUUUCUAGGAUCGACGUAAUGAUUAAUAGGGAUAGUUGGGGGCAUUAGUAUUCAAUUGUCAGAGGUGAAAUUCUUGGAUUUAUUGAAGACUAACUACUGCGAAAGCAUUUGCCAAGGAUGUUUUCAUUAAUCAAGAACGAAAGUUAGGGGAUCGAAGACGAUCAGAUACCGUCGUAGUCUUAACCAUAAACUAUGCCGACUAGGGAUCGGAUGAUGUUAAUUUUUUAAUGACUCAUUCGGCGCCUUACGGGAAAC
rnacentral:rRNA from 1 species